rnacentral:tRNA from 1 species
UGUGUCGUGGGUGAGUGGUGAGCCAGCAGACUGUUAAUCUGCCUUUUCGCAGGUUCGAAUCCUGCCGACACAGCCA